AACCUAGCACACCUGCGGUGUGUACCUGCGGAAGGAUCAUUACCGAGUUUACAAACUCCCAACCCUUUGUGAACCUUACCAUAUUGUUGCUUCGGCGGGACCGCCCCGGCGCCUUCGGGCCCGGAACCAGGCGCCCGCCGGAGGCCCCAAACUCUUAUGUCUUUAGUGGUUUUCUCCUCUGAGUGACACAUAAACAAAUAAAUAAAAACUUUUAACAACGGAUCUCAGAUCGGAAGAGCA
rnacentral:misc_RNA from 1 species